rnacentral:rRNA from 1 species
GACGAACGCUGGCGGCGUGCCUAAUACAUGCAAGUAGAACGCUGAAGGAGGAGCUUGCUCUUCUGGAUGAGUUGCGAACGGGUGAGUAACGCGUAGGUAACCUGCCUGGUAGCGGGGGAUAACUAUUGGAAACGAUAGCUAAUACCGCAUAACAGUAGAUGUUGCAUGACAUUUACUUAAAAGGUGCAAUUGCAUCACUACCAGAUGGACCUGCGUUGUAUUAGCUAGUUGGUGGGGUAACGGCUCACCAAGGCGACGAUACAUAGCCGACCCGAGAGGGGGAUCGGCCACACUGGGACUGAGACACGGCCCAGACUCCUACGGGAGGCAGCAGUAGGGAAUCUUCGGCAAUGGACGGAAGUCUGACCGAGCAACGCCGCGUGAGUGAAGAAGGUUUUCGGAUCGUAAAGCUCUGUUGUAAGAGAAGAACGAGUGUGAGAGUGGAAAGUUCACACUGUGACGGUAUCUUACCAGAAAGGGACGGCUAACUACGUG